rnacentral:pre_miRNA from 12 species
AGUAUCUGUUCAUGUGACCCGUGGACUUCCCUUUGUCAUCCUAUGCCUGAACAUAUAUAAAGAGGGCUGGGAAGGCAAAGGGACGUUCAACUGUCAUCACUGGC